rnacentral:rRNA from 1 species
CAGCAGCACGGUAAUACGUAGGUGGCAAGCGUUGUCCGGAAUUAUCGGGCGUAAAGGGCUCGCAGGCGGUUUCUUAAGUCUGAUGUGAAAGCCCCCGGCUCAACCGGGGAGGGUCAUUGGAAACUGGGAAACUUGAGUGCAGAAGAGGAGAGUGGAAUUCCACGUGUAGCGGUGAAAUGCGUAGAGAUGUGGAGGAACACCAGUGACGAAGGCGACUCUCUGGUCUGUAACUGACGCUGAGGAGCGAAAGCGUGGGGAGCGAACAGGAUUAGAUACCCCCGUAGUCCCUGUCUCUUAUACC